rnacentral:rRNA from 1 species
CGCUGGCGGCGUGCCUAACACAUGCAAGUCGAGCGAUGAAACCCUUCGGGGUGAAUUAGCGGCGGACGGGUGAGUAACACGUGGGUAACCUGCCUUAUAGAGGGGGAUAGCCUUCCGAAAGGAAGAUUAAUACCGCAUGAAAUGUUUUUAUCGCAUGGUAGAAACAUCAAAGGAGUAAUCCGCUAUAAGAUGGACCCGCGGCGCAUUAGCUAGUUGGUGAGGUAACGGCCCACCAAGGCGACGAUGCGUAGCCGACCUGAGAGGGUGAUCGGCCACAUUGGAACUGAGACACGGUCCAGACUCCUACGGGAGGCAGCAGUGGGGAAUAUUGCGCAAUGGGGGAAACCCUGACGCAGCAACGCCGCGUGAAUGAAGAAGGCCUUAGGGUUGUAAAGUUCUGUUUUCUGGGACGAUAAUGACGGUACCAGAGGAGGAAGCCACGGCUAACUACGUGCCAGCCGCCGC